GACUGUGGAGCUAGCGUGGCUGAUCACGUUUUAAUCACAGUCGGUCAUGGCAUGCACAGCAAUGGCGUCUGUAAAAGUAUCAUGUCACAAAUUUUUCCAAUUUGUACAUGACAUCUGUUUUUGGAUACGUUUAUUCGUUUUAACCUUUAGAUGCGUGAGUUCUAAAUAUUUCCGACGCUUCCACCAUUUAUUUUUCCAAAACGGCAGCUAGGUAGCUUUAAUUAGCUUCCGUUACCUAGCAACCUAGCAUAAUACUCGUAGCAAUGCUACUACCUGCUAGUGUUACUUGUUAGCCUACUAAUUGUAAAUUUUGAAGCCAUACUAUAGCGUUUGUCAUAUAGUUUUUGUCUAUCGGAAAAUAGUCGGUUGGAAUGUUCAGAAUCACACAUGUGCGACGCUACAAUGUGGGGCCCUGCUUUCGAACGAUCACAUAUGUGCAAUGCUACUCCUUUAAUAUCAAUAUGCUAAAACUAUGUACAUAAACUACAUUCCACUUUCAUUUCUGUACAGAUUAUCCUACCACCGUCACACGGCCUAGCACUGUGUCCCUGGGAAAUGAUGAUUCCAUACCCCUAGAUGUCAACUCUGGUCUGGUGGAGGUGAACCCAUUGGGGGCCCAGGAAAACAGCUGGCAGCCAGGCAAGUGCAAAUAUAAGACACUCAAAAAUAUAUAUGCUUUGUAUACAACCAUUCAAGGUAACAUUUGUUAUUUACAUCAAUGUUACAGCUAAUCUAGAAUAACCACAGUGUAUGCCAAUCAUGCUAACUCUUGUAAACUUGUUUUACUUGUCUUUAAUGACAGACACAUUACAGGUUAUGCUCUGGAAGAUGGAGACAUUGGAGGAGAACCAGCGAGAGGCUCUCCUAUUCAGGCGACUACAGGGCAGACACACUAAAGAGGUGCCAGUGAUGGACCUACAGGUGGCCCAAACACAGGCUGAACUCCAAGACCUUGAGGAGCGCCUUAAGGUACUGGAGUUGCGAAAGAGAGUGACGCUGUGAUGAAGUGGAAGACGGGACUGGGAGAGAAAGCUGUGGAGCUCCUCAUAGAGGAGACACUCAAACACACCCCGGCAGCCCAUUAAAAACAAGCCAGGGCCAACAGACAGGACCUGUAGCUGGGACUGGCAGAAGAUUUGAAUUCACUGUUUGGCACUUUGUUUGAAAUAAAAUG